AGUGAACGCUGGCGGUAGGCCUAACACAUGCAAGUCGAACGGCAGCACAGUAAGAGCUUGCUCUUACGGGUGGCGAGUGGCGGACGGGUGGGGAAUACAUCGGAAUCUACUUUUUCGUGGGGGAUAACGUAGGGAAACUUACGCUAAUACCGCAUACGACCUACGGGUGAAAGCAGGGGAUCUUCGGACCUUGCGCGAUUGAAUGAGCCGAUGUCGGAUUAGCUAGUUGGCGGGGUAAAGGCCCACCAAGGCGACGAUCCGUAGCUGGUCUGAGAGGAUGAUCAGCCACACUGGAACUGAGACACGGUCCAGACUCCUACGGGAGGCAGCAGUGGGGAAUAUUGGACAAUGGGCGCAAGCCUAAUCCAGCCAUACCGCGUGGGUGAAGAAGGCCUUCGGGUUGUAAAGCCCUUUUGUUGGGAAAGAAAAGCAGCAGGUUAAUACCCCGCUGUUCUGACGGUACCCAAAGAAUAAGCACCGGCUAACUUCGUG
rnacentral:rRNA from 1 species